rnacentral:lncRNA from 1 species
UUUUCAGUCAAAAAUCAGUGCGCUCUUUUAUCCGAUGCGGUUCAUGCAUUGAUUUGGGUGUCGCGAAAAAACAGAGUUUUCAGUCAAAAAUCAGUGCACUCUUCUAUCCGAUGCGGUUCAUGCAUUGAUUUGGGUGAUGCGGUUCAUGCAUUGAUUUGGGUGUCGCGAAAAAACAGAAUGUCCGCAUUUCGGUAAUUUGAAAAAUGCUCUUAAACUGUAAGGAAUUAGAGAGACUGUUGUACAUGAAAAGGAUGUGCCUCGUCGAUAUCUUUCAAACAUUGUAUCAUUUGCAUCGUUCUGACAAGCGAUUUGGAAAAAUUUACGAAAAUACGCUUGCUGCAACUCGUAGGCAGCCACUCCGUUUUUAAAAUUCAUUUAAAACUGCGAGGAAUCUCAAAAAAUGACCAACACAUGAAAGUU